rfam:Oryza brachyantha chromosome 7, whole genome shotgun sequence.
AAUAACUUCAUUUUUUGUUUUUCCGUGUCCAAUGUUUGACCAUUCAUCUUAUUUGAAAAAUUUAUAAAAAAAGUUAGUCAUGUAUAAAGUACUAUUCAUAUUUUAUCAUCUAGUAACAAUAAAAAUAUUAAUCGCAAAACAAAUUUAAAUAAGAUAAAUGGUCAAAUGUUGGACACGGAAAAACAG